AAUUUGAUCACUUUGGCAAUCUGUACACAUUGCUGUGUAACAAUUUGUAUACGUUGGCACAGUGCUAUCAAAGCUGCAUGCAAGUGUUUUUUGAAAGGAUACAACAUGGGAUGUGAUAUUCAUGUGUGUGUGCCUGCUUUGUCCACAGCCUGUGCUGUAUGAAUCACAUUUCUUGCAACUGAAAUGCUAAUGGCAUGGUAAAGUUCAUGUGACAUGACACAAGCUUGAGAUUCAUGAUGUGCAAGUACCAUGAGGGAAAUGUGAAAAGGACUUUGGAAAGAGAAUUAAAUAAAGCCUGCAUUUGCUGACAAUGAAAGCAAGUGUGGAUGUUCAUGUAAUUGUUACUGCAUCAAUCAAUGUUCAUCUUGGUUACUGCAUGCUUUAUAUUACAGCUCAGAACAUGAAGUGUGUGUAACAGCUCUGCUUUGAUUUUUCCCACAUGGGAUCAGUUGAAACAUUGUGAGAGCACUCUUCAGUUUCCUUAUGUACCCACCAGCUUUGUCCACUCGCGUGUUGGCACACAUGUAAUGAUGAUGUGUUUAUGCAAGAUACUUCUGUGCUCAACAACAUGUUGUGUCAAUCCUCACUUGACCCGUCUUGAAACACGGACCAAGGAGUCUGGCAAGUGUGCAAACCAACUUUCUGUAGAGAUUUGUAUGUAAUGAACAUGUUUGUAUCAUUAUUGCACCACCAAUCAAUAUUCAGCUCGUUGCUUAUUUGAAUGUGAGCAUUGUUGCUAGGACCCGAAAGAUGGUGAACUAUGCUUGCAUAACAUGAGUUCAGAGGAAACUCUGAUGGAAGUUUGUAUCGGUACUGACGUGCAAAUCGUUCGU
rnacentral:rRNA from 1 species